UCGAAUUAAGAUUCCAUUUGCUCCAAUGUGUACAUGCAAAUAAAAAAAGAAACGAAAAGUAGAAUUAGAGGGGAAACUUAUGCUUAAUGGAACAAAUGGCGAACCAAAGACACGUAAAAUUCCUAAUAAUAAGCUAUAGCUACACCAUGCUCCAUUUAUUGAAACAAUAAACAAGUUUCUUGGCAUUUCAAGUAGUUGAUCAGAAUCAUACUGCACUUUUAUUUAGAAGUAUAUGUAUUGAUUUUGACUUAUGACUUGCAUCACUAAAAUUACUAGGCAAAUUACACUAGAUCGAUGGUCUGAAACACAACUAAUCUCAAAUGACGACCAAGGUCCUAUUUUAAUCAUUUUGGCUAUUCAUAGUCAUCAAAAGAAUAAUAAUACUUUUCUGCAAUUGAAAAAAAUGCAUACAGUCCUACAAACAAAUUAUGAAUCCCAUCUUCAUGAACAUCUCUAGCUUAUCAGCAAGUUUCUUUCUUUCUUUCUUUCUUGAAGGAAUUUAUAAUUUGGGAAGGACAUUUUAAACUACUCAUGAAGUAAUAUUUUUAGGCUACUAACUUCAUAAAAUUGCUUUCAAACAUACAUAUUCUAACGAGACAUGCUAAAUCGAGAUUCGACAUCGAACAAGUGUUUACAUAAAUAUUGUAUCUGACAGUUUUCUUUUCAAUUAAAAUCGGACUAAAACAUAACACAUCCUAAAUCAUGAUUUUCUACUACAUGAAGAGCUAAUAAGUAAUAGUUUCUACGAACAAAUAACAAAAUAGAGUGACGUCUCAAACUAAUUACCUCACAGAUUAAAAGAAGCACUUCGAAUGUCAAAAAAGAGGAAAUGGAAGUAACAACAUUUUUACCAAUAUGUACAGAUCAUAAACAUGCUUAGAACUGCCGAACCGAAAAAAGAAAAAAAGGCACUGACCUAUUUCAGGGCAGUGAACUGAGGGCGGCGAUCUUAGAUGCACUCUGGAAUUCCGACCUCGAAACUCUUACUGCGAACAACUUUGUUGGAGAAUUUGGAAAAGAAAUACGAAGUAUUUAGGGAAAGGUUAAUCUUUUGGGAAGUCUUUUGAAGAAUAAAAUGUGAACAAAAUAAGGAGAGAAGACGGCUCAAAGUAGCGAUUUUAGGUUUGAGAAGCGGUUAAAACCUUUUGUUUAAAGAAAAAGGCAGCGACUUCAAAAAAAGUUUAGGAUUAGGAGGCAGCUAACAACCAUCAAAUUUUGUGGUAAAAGUGUGGCUAAAAACCAUUUAAUUUAAGGUGAAAGUAGGCGGAUCCAACCCUUUUUUUGGUGUAAAGGUGCAGCUCCAAAACAUAUCCAAAAUAGACACUAAUAGGAUGUAUUUAUAGAGAUGAUUUUAGGGCCGGGGAACCAUUAAGCGGGAAUCGGACUACCAUUUGAAUUUUGAACAAAAAAAAACCAUUUAAACGUUGGAUCAAAUCUUUGAUGCCGAGACCAAAUCUCAUUCUCUGAAAAGUAAUCUUGGCUUUUUGUUAUGAGCCUAGUUUGACCAAGUUUGGUGUAUGAAGAUUCAUUAAAAUGGAAUGAUAUUUUCUAGUCUAGAGAUGAAGAUGUUUGGAGUUUUAUCAAAAUAGAAAAAGGAAUAGAGUGUGUGCCAUGAGAGAG
rnacentral:lncRNA from 1 species